UAAAGGGAAGACGCGUCUCUUAAUGAAGCCACACAAGGGACGUCUCUUAUGAGACAGCUGUACAAACAUGAGUGCUUCAUCUUCCUUUCCGCUAUCUCUACGUAGGUAUUCGAUUUUCCUCCAUUUUUUUUAUGAGUCCAGUCGAUUUUAGGUAUUAAGGAUUAUUGGUCCUAGGAAUAUGGGGUUGACAAGGAAUCAGAAGGAUCUGGUAAAGAGCUUGGCCGUCGUGGAAUGAUUGGGACUGAACGAAUUGGACUUGAUGCUGGUGACAGUCUUGGUGCUCUUGGUUUGAACCUCGAAUCCACUGGCCGUGGUGUAUUUGAUGCUCUGUUUUCGAGUUUCUCCAUGAUUCUUGUGACAUAGAUUGGCGAUGAAACUUUUAUAAUAGCGGCACUGAUGGCUAUGCGACACCCCAAAGCUACUGUUUUGUCUGGUGCACUUUCAGCUUUGUUUGUUAUGACUUAUUGAGCGACCCGUUUACAAGGCAGGAGUACGACAAGAAAAUGAAGCUUCAUAUCUAUGAGCACAAUAUGGAGCUUUUUGAUCGGUACAAAGAGCUCAUAUUUACUUGCAGUGGCCUUGGGAUGAAGAAAUUUCUUUGGUGAAUUGCAGAGCUUUUAAUUUAGGUGAUAUAUAUAGCCUUUGUAGGUUGAGUUAGAGACAUCAGCCUUUGUAGCAGGGUUUGAGUAUUGAUCAUAGUCUGAGAGCAAGAGAAACCAUCAAUUAAGCAUUAAUCAUGUUUUUAGGUUCUCUGCUUCCACAAGUUUUUCUUUUCUUUGUUUUUUUUGUUCUUUGUUCUUUGGAAAGAUUAGAAACUUGUGUUGAAAUGUCAAUCGUCUUCUUCCAUCGAGUUCCUUAGUUUUAUUGUGUCUUGUAUUAUUUUUCUCACAUGUCUUGUAUUCUCUUGUCACGGACGUUGAUGAAAGUGUUUUCUGAAAGACCAGUGAUGUAUAUGGCGGAGAUGUGUUGAGCGAGACUAAACCAUUACAAAUACAUGCUUCAGCCAAGAAAGAUCACAGGUCGUGGGGAUUGGGUGAUUAAAAGGUCGUCAAGUUCUAACCUAGUGCAACAUCAACGUCCAUUACAAAAGGUUGUAUUAUCAGAAACUUGUAUAAAUGAUAUGAAUAAUGAAAGUGUAUUCACAAGAUCAAAUGUUCCUUCUCAAAUUCAUUCUUCCUUCUCAAGUUCA